rnacentral:rRNA from 1 species
UACGAAGGGGGCUAGCGUUGUUCGGAAUUACUGGGCGUAAAGCGCGCGCAGGCGGUCGUUCAAGUCGCGUGUGAAAGCCCCCGGCUCAACUGGGGAGGGUCACGCGAUACUGAUCGACUCGAAGGCAGGAGAGGGAAGUGGAAUUCCCGGUGUAGUGGUGAAAUGCGUAGAUAUCGGGAGGAACACCAGUGGCGAAGGCGACUUCCUGGCCUGUUCUUGACGCUGAGGCGCGAAAGCUAGGGGAGCAAACGGG